UUCAUGAUAGGCCAUGCAUGCCUUCCUUACAAAUUGAACUGUUGGUUGUUUCCAUGACUACGAAAACCAGCGCUGCACCAAUGACUGAUCUUGUGUUGGGCGACACAGCCAUUUUCGCUCUCGGGGGAAUAGAAUAUUGUACUGCGGUAUUAAAACAAGGAUUKUUUUCUUGAAAUACACACAGGCAUACAGGUUGGAUAGCAAUAAUUGAUUUGAAACCAGGAUCACACUUGUCGGACCUUAACCCUGCAAGUCAAUGUGGUGAAAUCUGCUGUGCUGCCGCCCAGAAAACAGAUAUAGGGAGAGGAGCUACAUAAAACAURGCGGAUGUGUUUUCAUUCUAUCACGUAGUGUGUCUCGCUCUUCAUGUCUGGAUAGUGUGAUUGUCUGAAGUGGUGCUGCGACGAGAGACCUUCAACAUGAAUACAGGUG